rnacentral:rRNA from 1 species
AUAGGUGGGAGGCUUUGAAGCGUGGACGCCAGUCUGCGUGGAGCCAACCUUGAAAUACCACCCUUUAAUGUUUGAUGUUCUAACGUUGGCCCCUGACCGGGGUUGCGGACAGUGUCUGGUGGGUAGUUUGACUGGGGCGGUCUCCUCCCAAAGCGUAACGGAGGAGCACGAAGGUUAGCUAAUCCUGGUCGGACAUCAGGAGGUUAGUGCAAUGGCAUAAGCUAGCUUGACUGCGAGCGUGACGGCGCGAGCAGGUGCGAAAGCAGGUCAUAGUGAUCCGGUGGUUCUGAAUGGAAGGGCCAUCGCUCAACGGAUAAAAGGUACUCCGGGGAUAACAGGCUGAUACCGCCCAAGAGUUCAUAUCGACGGCGGUGUUUGGCACCUCGAUGUCGGCUCAUCACAUCCUGGGGCUGAAGUAGGUCCCAAGGGUAUGGCUGUUCGCCAUUUAAAGUGGUACGCGAGCUGGGUUUAGAACGUCGUGAGACAGUUCGGUCCCUAUCUGCCGUGGGCGCUGGAGAAUUGAGGGGGGCUGCUCCUAGUACGAGAGGACCGGAGUGGACGCAUCACUGGUGUUCGGGUUGUCAUGCCAAUGGCACUGCCCGGUAGCUAAAUGCGGAAGAGAUAAGUGCUGAAAGCAUCUAAGCACGAAACUUGCCCCGAGAUGAGUUCUCCCUGAGACUU